rnacentral:rRNA from 1 species
UACGUAGGGGGCAAGCGUUGUCCGGAAUCAUUGGGCGUAAAGAGCGUGUAGGCGGCCAAGCUAGUCUUGUGUGAAAUCCUGAGGCUCAACCUCAGGCCUGCACGGGAUACUGCUUGGCUAGAGUCCGGAAGAGGAGAGUGGAAUUCCUGGUGUAGCGGUGGAAUGCGCAGAUAUCAGGAAGAACACCCGUGGCGAAGGCGGCUCCUCUGGGACGGUACUGACGCUGAGGCGCGAAAGCCAGGGGAGCAAACGGG